rnacentral:rRNA from 1 species
CAUCGACAUUUUGAACGCAUAUUGCGCCCACGGCUUAAUUAUUACUAUUGCUGUGGGCACUCCAGAUCGAGGGUCGUAUGAUGAAAUGCAUCCAUCUGAUUGAAUUUUUAAAAUUUGAUUUGCUUUGAGCUGUCGUGUUUACUUCGGUAAAUCGCGUCGCUUUAAAUUGACCAAUUCUUUUUAUGAGAAUGAGAAAGGCUAAAGAAGGUACCGACUUCACAUUAAGUCAGUAACUAUUAGGUCCACGUGAUUUUUUAUCCAUUUAUCGAUACGGGCGUGCCAUUCUGUGGCCAGAUGGUGUAUCAGGAUAUUUUUUCGGACUCUGUUGCUGGUGUGAGACCGUGUUCUAAGUACUUUGAAAGUCUUGAGCUUGCCCGUGGUUGGUGCAUUGCUAACUCUAUCACGACCUCGUUUCGGGAGAGACUACCCGCCAAAUUUAAGCAUAUCAAUAAGCGGAGGAAAAGAAA